AGGCUAUAUUAUGGAGAAACUAAUGUUUGAUCAAUUGAGGGAGUUUCUCAUCAAUGAAGAGUUUCCCAAAGAAUUGGACAAGAAACAGCGCUGGACAUUUCGACGACGAGCCUCCAACUUUUUGAUCGAUGACGGCGAAUUGUUUUAUGUCAGACGUAGGGGCUCGGACAAGGAGGAAAAGGUGAAAGUGGUCUGUGGGGCAGCUGAGGCCGACGCCUUAUUUAAAGAAUUUCACUGCAGUGACAUUGGUGCACACUGCGGCCAAAUUCGUACCAGGAGUGUGAUAUCACAGAGGUUCUACUGGCCUGGCAUGUCCACCGACAUUGAGAAUUGGGUAUCACAAUGCACUGUGUGUCAGCAAAGUCGACAUGACCUCAAGCUUGCCACAGAGUAUAUACCAAUAAAG